GUUUCUAUCUAUGAAGUGUUUUCUCCCAGUACGAAAGGACCGGAGGAAAAAGGCCCAUGCCCCUGGUAAGCCUCUCCUUCACCUAUUGAAAACAACUCAACAAGACAAAAAGGCACUUACUUUCCCUGCCCACAUAUAAUGGCU
rnacentral:rRNA from 1 species